UCGAGAAUAUUUAGCAAUGGACGAAAGUCUGACUAUGCGACGCCGCGUGAGGGAUGAAGUAUUUCGGUACGUAAACCUCUUUCGAUAGGGAAGAAACUACCUGUAGUAAUACAGGAACUGACGGUACCUAGAGAAGAAGCCAUGGCCAACUCCGUGCCAGCAGCCGCGGUAAUACGGGGAUGGCGAGCGUUACUCGGAUUUACUGGGUGUAAAGGGCAGGUAGGCGGCUCCGCAAGUUGAAGGUGAAAUGCUCUGACUCAAUCAGAGAACUGCCUUCAAAACUACGGGGCUUGAGGAUUUGAGAGGAGAGCGGAAUUCCCGGUGUAAGGGUGAAAUCUGUAGAUAUCGGGAGGAACACCCGUGGCGAAAGCGGCUCUCUGGCAAAUCCCUGACGCUGAGCUGCGAAAGCUAGGGGAGCAAACAGG
rnacentral:rRNA from 1 species